rnacentral:rRNA from 1 species
GAUGAACGCUGGCGGCGUGCCUAAUACAUGCAAGUCGAGCGAACAGAUGAGGAGCUUGCUCCUCUGACGUUAGCGGCGGACGGGUGAGUAACACGUGGAUAACCUACCUAUAAGACUGGGAUAACUUCGGGAAACCGGAGCUAAUACCGGAUAAUAUAUUGAACCGCAUGGUUCAAUAGUGAAAGACGGUUUUGCUGUCACUUAUAGAUGGAUCCGCGCCGCAUUAGCUAGUUGGUAAGGUAACGGCUUACCAAGGCAACGAUGCGUAGCCGACCUGAGAGGGUGGUCGGCCACACUGGAACUGAGACACGGUCCAGACUCCGAAGGGAGGCAGAAGUAGGGAAUCUUCCGCAAUGGGCGAAAGCCUGACGGAGCAACGCCGCGGGAGUGAAGAAGGUCUUCGGAUCGUAAAACGCUGUUAUUAGGGAAAAAAAAAUGUGUAAGUAACUAUGCACGUUUUGACGGUACCUAAUCAGAAAGCCACGGCUAACUACGU